rnacentral:rRNA from 1 species
UACGGAGGGAGCUAGCGUUGUUCGGAAUUACUGGGCGUAAAGCGCGCGUAGGCGGCUUAUCAAGUCAGAGGUGAAAGCCCGGGGCUCAACCCCGGAACUGCCUUUGAAACUAGUAAGCUAGAAUCUUGGAGAGGUCAGUGGAAUUCCGAGUGUAGAGGUGAAAUUCGUAGAUAUUCGGAAGAACACCAGUGGCGAAGGCGACUCACUGGACAAGUAUUGACGCUGAGGUACGAAAGCGUGGGGAGCAAACAGG